UACGUAGGGUGCGAGCGUUGUCCGGAAUUAUUGGGCGUAAAGGGCUCGUAGGCGGUUUGUCGCGUCGGGAGUGAAAACCCAGGGCUUAACCCUGGGCUGGCUUCCGAUACGGGCAGACUAGAGGUAUGCAGGGGAGAACGGAAUUCCUGGUGUAGCGGUGAAAUGCGCAGAUAUCAGGAGGAACACCGUGGCGAAGGCGGUCUC
rnacentral:rRNA from 1 species